rnacentral:rRNA from 1 species
GUGUCAGCCGCCGCGGUAAGACGGAGGGCGCAAGCGUUGUUCGGAAUUACUGGGCGUAAAGCGCGGGCAGGCGGUCUGUUAAGUCGUUUGUGAAAAUCCGGGGCUCAACCCCGGAAAUGCAUACGAUACUGGCAGGCUGGAGACUGGUAGAGGCUAGCGGAAUUCCUGGUGUAGCGGUGGAAUGCGUAGAUAUCAGGAAGAACACCUGUGGCGAAGGCGGCUAGCUGGGCCAGUUCUGACGCUCAUCCGCGAAAGCGUGGGGAGCAAACAGGAUUAGAUACCCCGGUAGUCC